CAAACUAGAUUACAACUUAUUUUAGGCUACUUGGUGUGCAAUCUGGUGACACUGUAAACUUCCUCAGAUUGACAUUGUUGAUAGGAAGUUUUAGAUUUUCUAAAAUCUUCAAUAUACGAGUCAUAAGAGAUGAUCACGUGUGUUUGUAUUUCUUCUACAUAGUCAGCUUUGUAGAGAUUCAUAUUUUUCCAAUAAUGCUUACAUUUAG
rnacentral:lncRNA from 1 species